AUUCAACUGACGAGUCUCAAACGGGACGAAACGUGCGCGGCUUGGAU
rnacentral:hammerhead_ribozyme from 1 species